rnacentral:rRNA from 1 species
GACGAACGCUGGCGGCGUGCUUAACACAUGCAAGUCGAACGAUGAAGGAAGAAGCUUGCUUCUUCUGGAUUAGUGGCGAACGGGUGAGUAACACGUGAGCAAUCUGCCCUUGACUCUGGGAUAAGCGUUGGAAACGACGUCUAAUACCGGAUACGACCCUCGGAGGCAUCUCCUGGGGGUGGAAAGAAUUUUGGUCAAGGAUGAGCUCGCGGCCUAUCAGCUUGUUGGUGAGGUAAUGGCUCACCAAGGCGACGACGGGUAGCCGGCCUGAGAGGGUGACCGGCCACACUGGGACUGAGACACGGCCCAGACUCCUACGGGAGGCAGCAGUGGGGAAUAUUGCACAAUGGGCGAAAGCCUGAUGCAGCAACGCCGCGUGAGGGAUGACGGCCUUCGGGUUGUAAACCUCUUUUAGUAGGGAAGAAGCGAAAGUGACGGUACCUGCAGAAAAAGCACCGGCUAACUACGUGCCAGCAGCCGCGGUAAUACGUAGGGUGCAAGCGUUGUCCGGAAUUAUUGGGCGUAAAGAGCUCGUAGGCGGUUUGUCGCGUCUGCUGUGAAAUCUGGGGGCUCAACCCCCAGCCUGCAGUGGGUACGGGCUGACUAGAGUGCGGUAGGGGAGAUUGGAAUUCCUGGUGUAGCGGUGGAAUGCGCAGAUAUCAGGAGAAACACCGAUGGCGAAGGCAGAUCUCUGGGCCGUAACUGACGCUGAGGAGCGAAAGCAUGGGGAGCGAACAGGAUUAGAUACCCUGGUAGUCCAUGCCGUAAACGUUGGGAACUAGAUGUGGGGACCAUUCCACGGUCUCCGUGUCGCAGCUAACGCAUUAAGUUCCCCGCCUGGGGAGUACGGCCGCAAGGCUAAAACUCAAAGGAAUUGACGGGGGCCCGCACAAGCGGCGGAGCAUGCGGAUUAAUUCGAUGCAACGCGAAGAACCUUACCAAGACUUGACAUAUACGAGAACGGGCCAGAAAUGGUCAACUCUUUGGACACUCGUAAACAGGUGGUGCAUGGUUGUCGUCAGCUCGUGUCGUGAGAUGUUGGGUUAAGUCCCGCAACGAGCGCAACCCUCGUCCUAUGUUGCCAGCACGUAAUGGUGGGAACUCAUGGGAUACUGCCGGGGUCAACUCGGAGGAAGGUGGGGAUGACGUCAAAUCAUCAUGCCCCUUAUGUCUUGGGCUUCACGCAUGCUACAAUGGCCGGUACAAAGGGCUGCGAUACCGUAAGGUGGAGCGAAUCCCAAAAAGCCGGUCUCAGUUCGGAUUGAGGUCUGCAACUCGACCUCAUGAAGUCGGAGUCGCUAGUAAUCGCAGAUCAGCAACGCUGCGGUGAAUACGUUCCCGGGCCU